rnacentral:rRNA from 1 species
ACGCUCGACACCUACGGGAGGCNGCAGUUAGGAAUAUUGGGCAAUGGAGGAAACUCUGACCCAGCAACGCCGCGUGAAGGAAGAAGGUUUUCGGAUUGUAAACUUCUGAUCUAGGGGAAGAAGGAAGUGACGGUACCCUAGGAGAAAGCCACGGCUAACUACGUACCAGCAGCCGCGGUAAUCUGAGCGGGCUGGCAAGGC